UACAGAGGGGGCAAGCGUUGUUCGGAAUUACUGGGCGUAAAGGGCGCGUAGGCGGCCUUCUAAGUCAGGCGUGAAAUCCCCGGGCUCAACCCGGGAACUGCGUCUGAGACUGGAAGGCUCGAAUCCGGGAGAGGGAUGUGGAAUUCCAGGUGUAGCGGUGAAAUGCGUAGAUAUCGGGAGGAACACCAGUGGCGAAGGCGACUACCUGGCCUGUUCUUGACGCUGAGGCGCGAAAGCUAGGGGAGCAAACGGG
rnacentral:rRNA from 1 species